GCUGCGAGGCAGGUGUUCUGACCUCAUCUGCAGAUAAGGACGCUGAGGUUUGGAGCUACCCCUAAAGUCGUGCAGUUAGUGGCAGAGUGUGAACGGUCUGACUCAGGAGCCCGACCGAGAUCCUCCAAUCGUGCAUCACCUGACUGAAGACGGUUGUUACUAAGCUCCCUCCCUCCUGGGUCCACGUUGCGGAGACGGGCCCAGGGACCACAGAAGAGAAGGAAGCCACGUGAGAGCCAGCGGUUAGGAAGAGGUCCAGAGAAUGUGCAUCCGAGUGGACCUUCUAGCCACCUGUUAAGGUGAUUGUGGGAGAAGAAAGGUGCAACCCACAACUCCCGUGUGCACCUUUGGGACACCGAGGCUGGACUAGAGCGGAUGCAGCGGUACAUCUGUGGUCAUAGCACCUCUGAAUGACUGAGAAGUCCUAUCGUAGUCACAGAAGCAACUCACCGGCUGUGUACAGGAGGAACACGUCAGUAUUUCGGAGCUCAGUAUGGACCAUGGUCAAUGUGAGGGGCCCAGGGCUCACCCGAAUGGAGGUACCUGAGGGUGCUGGUGUCCACCGCUCAGGAGAGGUGUCCUGAGGAGUAGAGCCAGAGGCCCAGACGGAAUGGCCCAGUGAAAGCUUGCCUGGGUCAGUAUGGGCAGCCUGGCCUGUCCGAGUAGUCAGGCUGGAUCUGUCUGGUGUGUUUAGAUGGGGAGCUCUGAAGGUGGCUACCUGAAAAGGAGUUUGGGGCUCUGAGGUCUGGCGCCAGGAAGCCCACGACGAACACUCAGCCCCCUGUCCUGGUUCAAGCACAUCUCACUCCAGGGCAGUUGCCAUCAGUUCAACAGGUCCGGAGAAGGCCUGGUCUGAGUUUUGCGGCUGAGCUCCGAAGGGAGUGCAGAGCCCACGCUGGGUCACCCACAGGCCAUUCUCUGCACACAGCUCUGGCUUUCUCGGGAAAUCAGCUAACAGCUUUUUCUUGGCUUUGCUCGGCCUGCUAAUGUAAUAGUGCUUAUUUUCAGAAUCUUCGUGAGGCCGGGGGGAAGCCUCAGCGUUUCAUUGUAAAUCCAUUAUGUCUUCUUUGGUUAGAAAUUAUCCCUGACAAGCAGUCCCACAGCAAAGACAAGUCAGUAUUAUUUUGCGGAAUCAAAAGGGGGAUUGGCCACUUCUUUUAUUAUUUUUUUAUUAUGACUGUCCUCCUUUUGGUUAUGACAUUCGAUGUAUUAUUUAGCUUAAGUGCUUGAUUAAGGAAGAGCUGGUGGGGGGUGGAGAAGGAACUGGAAGGGGCAAUUGCUCAGACUCUGGGCUUCCUGCUCUCCGUCUUGGUAGCUCGGACGGAAAUAAACCGCCAUGACCCUUUGGGGACCCA
rnacentral:lncRNA from 1 species